AGAAUCAACGCUGGCGGCGUGCCUAACACAUGCAAGUCGCACGAGAAAGGGGAGCAAUCCCUGAGUACAGUGGCGCACGGGUGAGUAACACGUGAAUAAUCUACCUCCGAGUGGGGAAUAACUGAGAGAAAUCUUAGCUAAUACCGCAUAACACUUACGAGUCAAAGCAGCAAUGCGCUUGGAGAGGAGUUCGCGGCAGAUUAGUUAGUUGGCGGGGUAAUGGCCCACCAAGACGAUGAUCUGUAUCCGGCCUGAGAGGGCGCACGGACACACUGGAACUGAAACACGGUCCAGACUCCUACGGGAGGCAGCAGUGGGGAAUUUUGCGCAAUGGGGGAAACCCUGACGCAGCAACGCCGCGUGGAGGAUGAAGCCCCUUGGGGUGUAAACUCCUUUCGAUCGGGAAGAUAAUGACGGUACCGAUAUAAGAAGCCCCGGCUAACUUCGUGCCAGCAGCCGC
rnacentral:rRNA from 1 species